rnacentral:tRNA from 1 species
UGCCCCGUGGUGAAAUGGCAUCACACCGCUCUUUGGAAGCGAGGUUCAAGGUUCGAAUCCUUGCGGGGCAA